CAGGGAUGCAACAAGAGAGACAAAGUAAAAGGCAUUCAUAAGCUCAAGAAGUAUCUCGAACAGUUUGGAUAUUUGAGCUAUAAUAGCCAUUCCAAAAACCAAAUCCGCACUGAUGAUGAUGACUACUUCGAUGAUCUCUUAGAGUCCGCCAUCAAAUCCUACCAGACCAAUUACCAUCUCAAGGCCACUGGAAAGUUGGAUUCUGAAACAGUGUCAGAGAUGAUGAGGUCGCGCUGUGGGGUUGCGGAUAUCGUGAAUGGGACAAGCUGGAUGCAGUCCUCAAAGAAAAGGCACGAUCAAGGCCAUGGCUCACUCCACACAGUCUCCCACUACCAAUUCUUCCCUGGAUCGCCAAGAUGGCCAACUUCCAAUAAUGCCCACCUCACCUACGCAUUUCUCCCAGGCACCCCAGAUGAGGCCAAGAUCCCUGUGUCUCGGGCAUUUGGCAAAUGGGCUUCUGCAACAAGCUUCACAUUUGCGCAGACUGAAGACCACAGAAACGCCAACCUGACAAUUAGUUUUCAUAGUCUUUUGCAUGGAGACUGGAACCCAUUUGAUGGCCCUGGUGGAACCAUAGCUCAUGCUUACGCCCCGACUGAUGGAAGGUUUCAUUAUGACGCGGAUGAAGAAUGGUCGGUUGGUGCAGUUCCUGG
rnacentral:lncRNA from 1 species